rnacentral:rRNA from 1 species
CCUACGGGAGGCAGCAGUGAGGAAUAUUGGUCAAUGGGCGCGAGCCUGAACCAGCCAAGUAGCGUGAAGGAUGACUGCCCUACGGGUUGUAAACUUCUUUUAUAAGGGAAUAACGUGAGGUACGUGUGCCGUUUUGUAUGUACAUUAUGAAUAAGGAUCGGCUAACUCCGUGCCAGCAGCCGCGGUAAUACGGAGGAUCCGAGCGUUAACCGGAUUUAUUGGGUUUAAAGGGAGCGUAGAUGGGUUUGCAAGUCAGUUGUGAAAGGUUGGGGCUCAACCGGGAAAUUGCAGUUGAGACUGGCGUGCUUGAGUACAGUGGAGGCAGGCGGAAUUCGUGGUGUAGCGGUGAAAUGCUUAGAUAUCACGAAGAACUCCGAUUGCGAAGGCAGCCUGCUAAACUGCCACUGACGUUGAUGCUCGAAAGCGUGGGUAUCAAACAGGAUUAGAUACCCUGGUAGUC